rnacentral:rRNA from 1 species
AGUCGAACGCUGUAGCUAUACAGAGUGGCGCACGGGUGAGUAACAUGUGGGAAUAUGCCUUUUGGUACGGAACAACUUUUGGAAACGAAAGCUAAUACCGUAUGGUCCCUUCGGGGUAAAGAUUUAUCGCCAAAAGAUUAGCCCGCAUUAGAUUAGCUAGUUGGUGUAGUAACGGUGCACCAAGGCGACGAUCUAUAGCUGUUCUGAGAGGAAGAUCAGCCACACUGGGACUGAGACACGGCCCAGACUCC